rnacentral:rRNA from 1 species
UGAGGAAUUUUGCGCAAUGGGGGAAACCCUGACGCAGCAACGCCGCGUGAGUGAAGAAGGCCUUCGGGUCGUAAAGCUCUGUCAGGUGGAAAAAAUGAUUCAUGGUAAAUAGCUAUGAAUUUUGGUGGUACCACCAGAGGAAGCACCGGCUAACUCCGUGCCAGCAGCCGCGGUAAUACGGAGGGUGCAAGCGUUGUUCGGAAUUACUGGGCGUAAAGAGCGUGUAGGCGGUAUGGUAAGUCAGAUGUGAAAGCCCUGGGCUUAACCCAGGAAGUGCAUUUGAUACUGCUAUUCUUGAGUAUGGGAGAGGAGAGUGGAAUUCCCAGUGUAGAGGUGAAAUUCGUAGAUAUUGGGAGGAACAUCCGUGGCGAAGGCGACUCUCUGGACCAAUACUGACGCUGAGACGCGAAAGCGUGGGGAGCAAACA